rnacentral:rRNA from 1 species
GUACACACCGCCCGUCGCUACUACCGAUUGAACGAUCCGGUGAAAUCUUGGGAUUGAAGGGUAUGCCUUGGGGCAACUCAAGUGCGACUCUUUGAGAACUUGCUUAAACCUUAUCGUUUAGAGGAAGGAGAAGUCGUAACAAGGUAUCCGUAGGUGAACCUGCAGAAGGAUCA